AACCUGCCCAAGAGAUCGGGAUAACACCUGGAAACAGAUGCUAAUACCGGAUAACAACAGAUGAUGCCUAUCAACUGUUUAAAAGAUGGUUCUGCUAUCACUCUUGGAUGGACCUGCGGUGCAUUAGCUAGUUGGUAGGGUAACGGCCUACCAAGGCGAUGAUGCAUAGCCGAGUUGAGAGACUGAUCGGCCACAUUGGGACUGAGGCACGGCCCAAACUCCUACGGGAGGCAGCAGGC
rnacentral:rRNA from 1 species